CAGUCGCCGCGGUAAUACGAAGGGUGCAAGCGUUAAUCGGAAUUACUGGGCGUAAAGCGUGCGUAGGCGGUGAGUUAAGUCUGUUGUGAAAUCCCCGGGCUCAACCUGGGAAUGGCAAUGGAUACUGGCAAGCUAGAGUGUGUCAGAGGAUGGUGGAAUUCCCGGUGUAGCGGUGAAAUGCGUAGAGAUCGGGAGGAACAUCAGUGGCGAAGGCGGCCAUCUGGGACAACACUGACGCUGAGGCGCGAAAGCGUGGGGAGCAAACAGGAUUAGAUACCCCCGUAGUCCCUGUCUCUUAUAC
rnacentral:rRNA from 1 species